rnacentral:misc_RNA from 1 species
AAAACAACACAAAUCACAUUCAUGUUUGUGAAUGUGGAGUUGAGCCGUUUUCCCUCUUUCUCGCAGAGAGGGAUGGCUUGAAAUACAGAAGGCCGGUCUGGGUAAAACCAGAUGCCAGGACAGAUUUUAAGAGUAAUAAUAGUUAAUGCGUUUUUGCGCGUUAUCCUUUUGCUCUGUGUCUGCCUUGGUGUGACGGCCUGACACUUUUCUUCUUGCAAAAGGAGGAGAGGAAACACUGUAUCUUGACGAAGAGGUCUGACCUCUUCCGACUU